UAUCCAAAAGUCAGCUUGGGCUCUACCUUAGCCACCUUAGAGAUACUCACUCCUGGCAUGGUCAAAUUAGAACCUUAUUUUGAUUUUUCCUUAUCUAUAUCUCAGUCAUAAUACCAGAGUACCUCCUGUUCCUAAAGUCAAAUUCCUAAGGAUCAUUCCUGAUUUCCCUCUUCAUUUUGCUCCUCUCUACUCCCAAAUUAAACUGCUAAUGCUGUCUCUACCACCUACAAGGUAUGACUUAGAUUUAUCUAUUCUGUGUAUCACAUCUAUUGGAGUUCCCCUUGUGGCUUAGUGGUAAUGAACCCUGCUAGUAACCAUGAGGAUGCAGGUUUGAUCCCUGGCCUCCCUCAGUGGGUUAAAGAUCUGGCGUUGCUGUGGCUGUGGUGUGGCUCACAGACGUGGCUCAGCUCCCAUGUUGCUCUGGCUGUGGCAUGGGCUGGCAGCUGCAGCCCCAUUUCUGGAAAUGGAAGGGGUGAAUGAAAGGAUGUGAGAGUUCCUCUGACGUUGGACAGUACAGGCCUGCUUAGUACAGAGGACUCUGUUCUGAGCUGGACCCAAGGUCUGACCUGUGACAUUAACACUGUGAAUCUCACAGGGGUUCCUCAAGCACCUUCUCCUUGAAGUCACUGAAUUUGGGAGGAUGUAUUCCGGGGAAGCAAUGUGCCCCCUGCUCUCAGCUCUACUUCUACUUUAGACUCUGUAGAGCCUGCCCCCUGCCUGCCACACCAGCAGCUUUCCCACCAUACUCCCUGUUCUCAGGGUCACUUACCUGGCCACGCUGGCUUCCAUUUAAUCUCUUGUAUGAACAGGGCAAUUCCAACCUUAGGGACCUUGUGCUAGAUGUUCUCUCUGCCUAGAAUGCUUUUUCCAGAGGCUCAGCAGGGCCAGUUCCUUAGUCUGUAUUUCGUCUUCUCCUAGACAUCUGUGCUGAUUACCUGGCCUAAAGGAACCUCUCCCACGAUCCAUCACAAUAUGAUUGUUGUUUCAUUCUUACGCAUUUUUGCUUUUUAGGGCUGCACCCGCAGCAUAUGGAAGUUCCGAGGCGAGGGGCUGUUUGCAUCAGAGCUGCAGCUGCCGGCCUACACCACAGCCACAGCGAUGUGGAAUCUGACCUGUGUCUGCUACCUAUUACCACAGCUCAUGGCAAUGCUGGAUCCUUCACCCAUUGAGCGAGGCCAGGGUUCGAACUGGCAUCCUCAUGGAUCCUAGUUGGGAUUGUUAACUGCUGAGCCAUGAAGGGAACUCCAAAUCUAUUAUCUUUUUAAUUUGUGUUUGGCUAUGCUUACUCUAUGACACUGUGCUCUAGAAGCCACGAUCCAAAAGGCAGGGCUUGGCCUGAUCCCCCUGGUAUCCAGCACAAUGUCUGGCAGGGGUUAAGUACACACCAUAAACACGUGGCAUCCAUAACAACACAUCAUGUGAUUAAACAUUAGCAGCUGGCACUGCCUGUUUAAUAAAAAGUGUUAUUAACUAUUCAGAUUUCUCUUUAUAGUUUUCCUAUUUUAAUAAAAUGUCCUCAUUAUCUUCUUUUUUUUUAAACUGAAACCCAUGCCUUUCUCUUUCCACAUUCAUAUGGCAUAGAACCCACUGCAAGAGAAAAGGUAAUUUAUUUGAGCAAAUGCGGGUCCAAUUCACUUUCAGAAAAUCUGUGCUUAUUAUGCACAUCAAAAAAGCAUAGGCAUUCUCAUUUUCUCCAUUUCAGACCACUUUUUUUUUUUCAUCUUAUAUUUGGAGGAAGACAGGAUCAUAAUCCAUGGCAUUUGAGAUUCUUCAUCUCUCAAAGCAUGUUUCCCACCCAUGAUUUUCUCAUGUGUUCCCUCCCUGAUACACCUGUCUGCCAGUGUCCAACUGCUCCUUCAAAACCCUCCUCAAAUCCUGAUGCUUCUGUGAAGCCCUCUGUCCACUUUUUGUGCAUUUUAUACCUGGACCCUUUAUGCCUGUGAAUGGUAGUUAGCUGGUCACAUGGCUAUGCAGUAGGACAUAUUUUGUGGUGAACCUAAAUGAUUUUCUUUCCCAGUAAUUCCUCUUUCACUCAUAAAAACUAAACUUAAAGUAGAGACUGUGGCCUCAGGGAAUGAACAUGGCAGUUACAGAACAGAAGGAAAAUACUAGAAAAUUGUUCCUUGGUUUUCUAAAAUGGCUUUUGAAACUCUGCGUAGACAGUAAUUUGAGACCAAAAGGUUUUGCAACUCAAAAAUCUAAGUGUAUAAACACAUGAGAAAAAUCAGGAAUAAGUGAAUGUGCUUUGAGAUAUUCAGGGACAGAUGAAGAGUCUUGAAUGUUCAGAGCAUGGUGUUCCCAGGGUGGGUACACUGGCUCCAACUUGUUCUUCCCAUUCAGUUUGAGUUCACAGAUGGAUAAGACCACAUCUUAUCCACCACCCUACUGUCAGGGCCUCGGAUGAAAUCUAGCAUCGAGCACAGACUUGGUAAGUAUGUUAAACUGAUCUGAAUGGUUAUAGCAUCCAAAUUAUUUACUUAUCAAAAAUCUUCCAGCAGAAAAUAAACAUUUAAAUACUAUCCUGGAAAGAAACUGGAAGGUAAUACAUGUUUACUGUCUAAGAACCUGUCCUGAAACUGAGUUGAAAGGAAUUGGUAUGCUCUGUAUUUUACCUUCAGGGUACAUCAGUUUCAUUAACUUGUGGGCCCCACCAUCCAAUUCUGGAAUAUACAACAAUUUGUAAGCAUUUUACCUAACAGCUGUUAAUGUACACAUUCUAAUAUGCUUCCUUCAGACAUCUGUGUUAUUUCCUUGUCUAGGAGGGAAGGUUACAACCAUCUUUUUAUGUUUUUGGAAGCUUUGGUGGCACACAAAUAAAAUGCAUGAAGAAAGCAGGCUAUUUAUUACUCCUCCUCUCAACCCAUGCACUCCUUUAAAUGCCAGAAAAUCCAAAAGUUCAUGGACUAGACUUAAUUAAAGACUCUUAGCCCCCAUGGUACAAGAUUAUUUCCAAUCACAUCAAAUCCACUUCAUAAAUAUGAGUAUUUCCCUCUAUGAACAUUUAUAGUAUUUUAUGGUUUUAUAUUAGAACUCACCUAUCAUGAAGACUGUUUUAUAAUGACCAUCACACCACCAGUGAGAGUAAUAAUAAUAUUACUCAUUAUAGUUUAUUUUUUAAAACCAUCUAUUUUUCUUGGGGGAAUUGCAUAAACUGAGUUCAUUUUGUUAAAAAUUUCAUACGGCUUAUGAACUAGGGUCCCAGGUGAUUUGAGCAAUUUCCUUCCCUUUCACGAGAUAAUUUUCCUUCUUCUACACCAAAGUAACAAUGCUAUGAAUGGCCUAACAUUUAUGAAUAAACAUGUGUGUUCAAUUUUUCUUUUUAUGCCAAGAAAUAAAACAAUGGGCCACAUCUUAAUUUUAAAAAUGAUUAUAUUUUAUUUUCAACAGCAUGCUGCUAUCUCCUGGUAGAGUAUAUUCUUACUUGCAAUAUGCAAUGGAAAAUUUGCAGUCCGUGGACACUACCCAGCGCAUACAGGGAAGUCUAUUGACAAUUCUUCAUUUUCAAAAAUCCUAAAAAAUCCUUACUUGGGGGAGUUCCCAUAGUGGCACUGUGGAAAUGAAUCUGAGUAGUAUCCAGGAGGAUUUGGGUUGAUCCCUGGCAGUGCUCAGUGGGUUGGGGAUCUGGCAUUGCCGUGAGCUGUGGCAUAGGUUGCAGACAUGGCCCAGAUCCUGAGUGGCUGUGGCUGUGGUGUAGGCUGGCAGCUGUAGUUUUGAUUCAACCCAUAGCCUGGGAACUUCUGUAUGCUGCAGGUGCAUCCCUAAAACAACAACAACAACAAAAUCCUUACCUGGACUGUUUAAGUUCCUGGGUUGGCAUUCACGCUAAUUGUGGAUCAAACUCAAAAUGAAUGUCCACUUCAAAGGACUCACCCCUGUGAUUUGUGAGAGGGUGGUACUUGGUCUGAACAACUUCCACAGACAACUGUGAUAGCCAUCCUAGCGUGCUCUUGUCAAGUGGGCAAUGAUAUUUUCCUCUAGUCAGAAAAGAUCUAAGAGUUCCCCCAGUGGUGCAGUGGGUUAAGAAUCCAAUCGCAGAGGCUCAGGUCACUGCAGAGGUGUGAGUUUGAUCCCAGGCUCCUUGCAGUGCAUCAAAGGAUCAACACUGCCACAUCCAUGGCAUAGAUUGCAGCUAUGGCUCAGAUUUGAUUCCUGGCCCACCUGAGAAGUUCCAUAUGACAUGGGUAGGGCCAUUAAAAAAGCAAAAAAGGAAAGUUUUGUCUGGAUAUACGCCUAAGAGUGGGAUUACUAGGACAUAUGUUAGUUCUAUGUAUAGUUUUCUAAAGUACCUCCAUAUACUGUUUUCUGUAGUGGUUGUAAAAACUUAUAUUCCCACCAACAGUGCAGGAGGGUUCCCUUUUCUCCACACCCCCUCCAGCAUUUGUUAUUUGUGGACUUAUUAAUGAUGGCCAUUCUGACUGGUGUGAACAGAACACUGUAAACCAGCUAAAAUGGAAAAAAAUAUAUAAAUAUAUAAGUAAAAAAGCAAAAAAAAAAAAAAAGUAUCACCAUUUGGAAGAGCCUCUGGGGAACUUGCUUCAGAAAUGCCCUUUUCCACUCUCUGAUUUUGCCACUGUCUUGCCUAUCCAUUGCCUAUCACAGGGUCUAAGCUUUUCCCAAGAUGCAGCUGGUCCCUGUCACUCAGUCUCCCUGCCAGAGUAAGAGAUGGCAGAUGGCUACAGUGAGGAUGAGAGACAGCUCGCCUACACAGAAGACAUCACCAGCUGAUCUGGAUCUGGGAGGGACCGUAAUUCCUGAGAGCUUGAGAGGUUACUAGAGUCCAAGAGGGAGAAUGUGGUGGAUGGAAACAAAAAUCAGGAACCGAAUUGAAACAGGAGGAUAGUUUAAAAUGCAAGUUACUGGAGGUCACUGAAUUAAUGUUUUCACUUUAAUGAUUAAAAUAAUAAUGAUAACAGCUGAGGGAGAGGAAACGACUUGCUCAGGGGCAGCACACAGAUGGCGGCGGUGCCGAGACAAGGGCCUUCUGGUGACUAACGUAGGGUUCUUUACAUUUUUCCACAAUUUUAUCCUGGUUUGAAAAUAUUUCAUAUUUUCCAGUUAACUAUAAAAAAGAUAUUGUACAGAAAUUACCAUCCUGGUUAUUUCUGAAAUAAUUUCCAGCAUGUUAUCAAAAAAGGAAAACGACUGAACAAUUCAUUCUUGCAUUGCUUUGUGGAGGAAAGAAGCUUAAAUGCUGUAUUUUAAUACAAAAGAUUGCCCAAAGAGGUGUUGCAUUAUACAGUAAGUGCCACAAGAAGAUUAACUACCAUGCAGCCUGCACCUCGAGCAGGGAAACUCAAUGAUUUCUAUAUAAAACUCAUAAAUGAAAGUGUUCAUUUAUUCAUGAUAUUCUAACAUAUUCGUUCUGUUUUUCUAAGACAAGCAAUGCAUGGCCUUUUAGUUUUAUGCCAUUACUUAAAAUAUUUGAAGAAAAUUGUUCAUCAAUCUCUGAUUCUAUUAUUACACUCAAGAGUAGGUUAAUUACUACCUCCUGGGGUCAUUUAUAGCAGGAAAUAUUUAAUGGAUUGCUACCAGGGCAUGUGAUCAUGGCAGAGAAGACCUAACUUACAGUUGCUAAAAGAUGACUGAUGUGAAUUAUUUACAGAACACAGGGUG
rnacentral:lncRNA from 1 species